rnacentral:misc_RNA from 1 species
GGGAGUAAAAGUCGUAACAAGGUAUCCGUAGGUGAACCAGCGGAAGGAUCAUUAUCGAGUUUUGAAAGGGAUAUAGCUUGCCUUCCGAGGCAUGUGCUCGCCCUGCUCAUCCACCCUACACCUGGGCACUGACUGCGGGUAUCAGAUCGUGAAGCGAGCCCGUUUACCCGAGUUUGUGAAGCGAGCCUAUGCCUACGUCUAUCAAAAACGCAAUAAAGUAUCAGAACGUGUAUUAAGAAGUAACCAAUCUAUAAACAAAUUUAAGCAAAGGAAAUCUUGGCUCUU